AACGAACGCUGGCGGCAUGCCUAACACGUGCAAGUCGAACGAGACCUUCGGGUCUAGUGGCGCACGGGUGCGUAACGCGUGGGAAUCUGCCCUUAGGUUCGGAAUGACAGUUAGAAAUGACUGCUAAUACCGGAUAAUGUCUUCGGACCAAAGAUUUAUUGCCUAGGGAUGAGCCCGCGUAAGAUUAGCUAGUUGGUGAGGUAAAGGCUCACCAAGGCGACGAUCUUUAGCUGGUCUGAGAGGAUGAUCAGCCACACUGGGACUGAGACACGGCCCAGACUCCUACGGGAGGCAGCAGUGGGGAAUAUUGGACAAUGGGCGAAAGCCUGAUCCAGCAAUGCCGCGUGAGUGAUGAAGGGCCUUAGGGGUUGUAAAGCUCUUUUACCCGGGAAGAUAAUGACUGUACCGGGAGAAUAAGCCCCGGCUAACUCCGUGCCAGCCGCCGCGGGUAAC
rnacentral:rRNA from 1 species